rnacentral:piRNA from 1 species
UUGAAAGCCUGUACAUCAAAA